GGGGAGGGGGGGGUGGAACGGCGCGGGUUGUGGGAGAUGAGGAAGGGCCACGAUUGACGCCAGUGCGCUGUUUGCCACGCCCUGUCACUACACGCCCAGUCACAUACGGUACCUGCUUCCACUGCAGCCACCUGGUGUCCGUCCGGUACUUAACGCCUGACUGGCUUCGGGUUUGUCUGAGUCAUGUCAGGCCUUGCAAACUCGUGCCCUGUCCGUCCCUUUCCCCUUAACUCAACCCCUCCUACACCCCCGGGUUCGGUUUAGUUUGGGCUGGAAUCUACAGCCCCCUUCUAACGCUUUCUUCACUGUUGGGACAUGUUUCGUUGGGAUCGGGCAAAUACCCCUUGCCCCGCGCUCUGUGGGCUGGUUCUGGGUUUUGGUUACUUUGGGACUGAAAUAAAGUAACCCUCCUUUUCCUGCCCCAGGACCUGGACCACUCGCUUGUGGAGUACAACCAGACUGACAUGGAGGUCAAACGGGCCGUGUGCCUGGACUGGCAGAGGCGCAUCAGCCGCCACAGCGCCACGUGAGGGCGGGGAGCGGGGAAGGGCGGGGAGGGGGAAAGGGUGGGGAGCGGAGUCUUGGGCCUUGGGUCUGCCCCGUGGCGGGUCCGUACGUGCCGCAUGGCUGCCGCGCUGUGUCUGGCGUAACCCAAACCCCGCACGCAACGCGGUUUCCCACGGCUCCUGUCCAUACUUGACCCCUGCUGCCCGCUCUGCCCACGCAGUGACCGCUAUCUGGAGUUUGUGAGCACGCCGCUGCACUCGGACGAGCUGUACACGCACAAGCACUCCAGCAAGUGAGGCGCCGCCCGAACCCGUGUGUCGCACGUGCGUCGCAUGGGUCUGCAGGACGCGCCGUGUGCGCGUGUUGCCUGAAUGAGGAAACCCAACGCUGAUGAUCCGUUCGGCCGCAGCGCUGGCUGCACUGCCACAGCUCUCCGUGUCCGCCUCACAUUAUUGGUCGCCUGUGCACCUGUUGCAAAAUGCGCACACGCCGCACCCGGGGGCUCCUGUGCCCUGACGCCAUCAACGUGCUGCCUGUGGCGCCACCCACACCGCCAUCAGCACCACCACCACUACCAUCACUAUCUGGCAUCACGCCUCCUCCACACCCCUCACCCUGCCCCCCUCAGGCUGUUUUGGGGCUACAACGGCGUCACUCCCGACACGGCGCUGACCGGGCUGCAGAACCUGGCGCUGAUGAUGCGGAGCAGGUGUGUGUGUGUGUGUGUGUGUGUGUGUGUGUGUAUAUGCGUGUGUUUGCUUUUGCGUUUGUGUGCGUGUGCGUGUGUGUGCGUGUGUGUGUGUGUGUGUGUGUGUGUGUGUGUGUGUGUGUGUCAGGCACGUGCGGGUGUGAGGUGGGGGAAACACACGUGCGGGCGGGGGGCAUCAGUCCGCGGGCGGGCGCCGGGCGGGCGCUGCGACCCCGGGCAGCCCGCCGCCACGCACAGGUGCGCGCCCUGUCUGUGCCUUUACCGCAUACGUCUUGCCUCCACACACUCGGCCCUGGCCCCAGCCUGAGCACACAACCCCCCUCGCUCGUUUGCAUCGGGUUUGGUUUACCUGGGCUGGUAUUUAUCCCCCCCGUGGCUGUUCCCCAAGAUUGUCUACCACUUCCAUUAGUCAUUAUGAAUGUAACCCCCCCUGUACACACCCGCCCGCAGUCAGCUGGCCCAGCUGCUGGCCUGGUACCCCAAUGUGACGGCGCUGCAGCCCGAUGACCUGCUGCAGGUGCGGGGCGUGGCGUGGGGAAGCGGGCGCAAUGGUGCAUGCAGCUCCCACCCGGGAUGGAGUGACACUGGGGCUCCGCGGGGGAUCGGGCUCCGUCCUGCGGCGUGUGGACAGACUGGAAGAACCUGCUUCACGUGUGUUGUCGAGUCAUCCUAUCCACCCACCCCACCCCAAUCACCACAGGACCCCGGCCACACCACCUUCCACAAGUUUCGCAAGCUAAUCAGGUGCGUGCCGCCGGGGUCAUGUGCACAAGUAUGGUAUGGAUCCAGGAAGCUCAUGUAGAAAUGGGUGGAGCGGCCUUCGUGCUGUGUUGCUUGUCAAGGCGUCAUGUCUUUGCUAGCCUACUUCCCGGUACGCGAUAUCUGCACAGCAGUAUGUGGACCGCUAUGAUAGAGCAUUUUGUAUGCAACGCCAUGCAAUUGUUACAUAGCAUCGUGGCCACAUCAGCAACACUGGAUCAACCCGGCCUACCCUCCACCAGGUCUAUUCUGGCGGUCCUGGCGGAGUUCCCCGAGCUGCUGGGCCCCGGCCGCAAGGAACCACACACCCGUGUCGCAGAGGUGGAGGGGGAGGCGCGGGCUGCCGCCGCGGCCACCACCCUGGCUGCGCGGCGCGCCCUCUCCAGCUACUCCAGCAGCAGCAGCAGCAGCAGCAGCCUGCAGCUACGCCGCAGCGGCGGCGGCGGCAGUGGCAGUGGCAGCCGCAAUGACGGUGUGGCGGUGCGGGACCCGUGUGACGCGGGUGCGGCGCUGAAGGCCCUCCAGCGCCUGUUCCACGACCUGGGCCAGACCAACGACAAGGUGCGGGGGGCAGGGCCGUGUGUCGGAAUGGUGGGCGCGUGUGUGGGUUGUGGGCUUGGGCACGGGCAGGGGACCUGGUAUGUCCGUGCGGGGUUCCGACGUCGAAGCGGCUGCGUGAUGGCAUCCGCGGCCAACACAAACCCCCUGCGAGCGGCUCGACACCCAACCUGCUGCGGUCUCGCCCGGCGGCGGGUCCGUCCCGGCGCUGCGCCCUCCCUACUCAGGUAUUCGCCUACCAGUUCUACUCCUCCCGCGGCGCCGAGUGGGCUGCCGAGGCGGAGGAGGCGCACCAGCAGGCGGCGGAGGGCUGGUCUGACAACCUGGACUUCAUGGCCUCGGCGCAGGUGGGCGCAGUGAGGGGUUAGUGUGAAUCGGUCCCAAAGGAACCGAGACCCAGGACUCGGGGGGGGGGGGGGAGGCGGAGGCGCGGGCGCGGGCGAGACUGGUGGGAGCCUGGGAUCGGGAGGUUGUCGAGUCGCUCUCAGCUCACAUCAGACACGUGGGGACUGAGGGGCUGGAGAGGAUGCCGGCUGUACGGGGGUAAGGAACAACAGAGGGGAUGUGGGUCGGGUCGGGCGUCGUGCGGGUUGUGGGUGACAGCGGCUGGUGCCGCUGGUUGCGAUAAAGCAGGCAUCCAAAAUCGCUUGUUCCGCAACCAUGCACCUUCCAGGACAAUGCCAGCGGCUCUUGGACUGCAUUUUGUGCCUGGCCGUGUUGCUUUCGCACAUGCUUUUGCGAGCUCGCCCCCUUGCCUCCCCCUUCUGAGAUGGAGAACAGCGGCAUGUCCCCUGUCCCUGCUCCCCUCCUCCUCGUCUCCCUGUCCUCGCGUUCCCCUCCGCGCCUCCGCCCGCUCCACUCAGGUUGACGUCAUGGCUCGGUGCAUUGCCGCCACACUGCCGCGGGGGGAGCAGCCGCUGCCCCAGCGCCGCCGCCGCCACAUGUAGAGCUAGGCGGGUGGGCAUUUGCAGCCCUUGUACUACCCGCAAUGGAUCAUAAAUACAUUUUACAGCCGUUGCAGCGCGUGCUGCAUGCAUUCAUGCUAGCGUUGGUUCUUUCACGGCGCUUAAAACAGCCGCAGUAGCCCGGUGGAGUAGCAGUCAGACGUGCAAACGUAUAAGGAUGUUGGGGGCUAAGCUGCGCGCUCGCGUGCGCUCGCGCGCACACGCCCAGCUACUGUGCGUAGCUGCUGCGGUGGCGGCGCCAGUGACUCCAAUCAUGUGCUGCGACCCAGCAAAACUGUUGUGUGCGCAUGCGUUUCAGUAAGUUGGGAGCGCUUGUUGGCGGCAGGAGUUUGUGGUGCAGGGGUAGUCAAGUUGUUGAUCGUGUCUGAGGCCUGUUGCACGCUCGGCACUUUGAUUCGAGGCUGGCAUGGGUACUGCUGCUCGAGAGCACGCAUCGCUGGGCUGUGUGUUGGGCUUCUGGGACUGGGAUGCAGACGUGUUGCUCAAAUGCAGUUUGCAACAAGCGCGGGCCUCACAGUGCCCUCCACGGGUGCGACAGCCCCCAUUGUGUAUAAGGGCCAUCCGUGGCUCUCGCCAACGCGGCGCCCCCACACGCGAACAAUGUGUUGGGCUUGCGCCUAGGACAGACGACCACUUAGGACGCUGUAUGAGGGCCAGCGCUAAGACAGGAUCAACCUUAUCUAGCUCCUUACAUGAACGGACCUAGGCCGGACGGCUGGGGAGUUGCUUUUAUUCCGGUUGCACCCGGGGGUUGCAUCUAUCCGUAUUGAUGUGUUGCGGGGGCUUGCAGGCGUGGUUAAGAUGCUUUUGCAAGGGUUGGCUAGCUCUUAAGCCCGGGCGCAUCAUUGCAUCGGCCUCUUUUGAUGCUACUGUAAGGUUUGGCUGAUGACAGCUUUGCGCACGCAAACGUGCUUGGAUUGGGUCGUCAAGCUUCAAAAGACGCGUUUCGCAUGGCCUAUGGCGAUAACGUGCUUCCAGGUGCUGAAGUAGCCGCGUUGGCGCGCGCGAUGGCGGCCAUCAGCGGUUCGCCGCGGCCAUCGAGACUCCCUAGAGGGCACGGUAAGUCUUCAGCUUCAGUCCGCUACUCGAAAUUGGUGUGCAUGGAGUUCAUAGAGGAUAUGACUCACGGUACUGCAGCUGCGCAUUGACAUUGACGAGUAGGGCGCGCGCCCUCCGAGUGCGCGCCAACUGCACCCGGGCAGCUGCCGAUGUACGGCGCUCGUCCGAGUUCUCCUAGCAACCUCUCAUGAGCCAUCGCAGUAUUAAAGCACUGUGGCAUCGACAAUUUCUUACAACCCUAAGCAAUUACAACUGCGACAUCUUACGAAGCUCAUCAGGUCAGACUUAGCGUUUUGCAACAAUCAGCCUCUUCAUCACCAAACUGCAAACAUGAAUUUAGCAGCCAUAAAUAGGGUCAAAGUUUUAGUAGCUGUCUGCCUGGCAAUCGCGGCGCCAACACACGCAGCGGGCACCGGCGCGCGGCCUGAAUCGGUGGCGGCCUUCCUGCGCGGCGGCAACUUGCCAAGCAUGGGCAACAUAGGUGAGUACUUGAAGGCAACUGGGGAUGGGCUGGUAAGGGGUCAGGGGAUUGUAAUCAGCAGCGUCCAAUCUGGCUUACAGCGCCAACAGACCUUAGACUAAUGUUAACGACCAGCACCAGCACGCACAAGCACCGUGUGUGAUGUUGUGACCAAACCCGUUCAACACUCACUUCAUUUGCACAUAACUGUCCCUGCUGUGCCGCGCAGGUGCACUGGCAGCAGGGACUUCAUCCAUCACUCCCGCUACUCAGGCAGCCGCCACCAGCACCGCCCGACCGCUGCAGCGCCUGCUGCAAUCCGACCCCACACUGCCCUUCACCUGCACCGGCAUCUCCCCGCCACAAAACUGCAAGCCGUCGCCGCUCUUUGGCAACAGCAUGGACUGCAGCCAGGCCACCUGCCCCCUGGAGCCCGCGGACGCCACCACGUUUGAGGACUGCGUGUGCGCCACGAACUGCCGCGGCGCAGUGAUGAUCGCGCAGUGCGCGGUGGGCUACAGGCAGUGCGACCAGAGCUGCGUGCCCUUGAUGCAGACUGGCUGCCCCAGCUCCUGCUACCUCAAUGUAAGCCUGGGUUCUAGCCGCCUGGGGUGGGCUUUAAACCUUACUUUGGAGUUGCGAGGCAAGGGUUGGCAGUCGUGUAGUCAAGUGUCAUCAAGUCUGUGGGAGUAGUCCGGGGCCCUGCUGCUGCCGGGAAGUCAGGCUGUGCACCAGCAGCCUGUCAGGCAGGGGUGCCGCUACUAGUCACAGCCUCUCUUGCUGCCGCACCCAGUAAAUUAGGGCCCCUGCCGCAACACGCACGAUGACUCACCUGCGGCGACUCACCUGCGGCCCAAUGUGCCCCUGCCACCUCCCCCCCCCACCUCAUCCACCGCCCACCCCUGCAGUUGGCGUUCUACACCUACUGCCGGUGUUCACCGGCCGAGGUCGCGGAGUGCGUGCAGUCGGUGGUGGAGGCAGUCAAACAGACCUACCUGCAAGUGUGCGCCAAGCUGCCGCGCCGGGAUGGCAGCCCCGUCAACGCAUUGCCGCCCCAAACCUGGGAGCCCGCGCCCGCGCCCAUCCAGCCGGAGCCGGAGCCAUUCCCUGAGCCGGAGCCGUCCCCUGAGCCGGAACCGUCCCCUGAGCCGGAACCCACCCCUGAGCCGGAACCGUCCCCUGAGCCGGUGCCAUCAUCUUCUCCCUCGCCUACCCGCUCGCCCUUACCUUCGCCUGCUGCUUCUCCAUCACCCUCCCCAUCCCCCAAGCCGUCGCCCUCCCCGGCCCUCCGGCCACCGCCCCCUUCCCUAAGCACCCCGGAGCCUGACGCCCUCUACGGCCCGCCUCCAGCGUGGGAGGACGCCUCUCCGCCGCCGCCCUCCCCACGGCCGCCACGCCCGCGCCCGCCCAGCCCCAAAGCCUCACCGCCGCCCAGCCCUCAGCCCUCUCGUACUUCACCCAGCCCCGUGCCUCUCCUUCCUCCCCAGAGCCCACAGUCCCCGGAUCUGCCUUCUCCCGCCGAGCCUCCCAGCCCCGAGCCACCCAGCCCCGAGCCACUCACCCCCGAGCCACCCAGCUCUGAGCCACCGUCACCUGAGCCGCUGCUGCCGCCCCAGAGCCCCAGCUAUGGACAGCCCACGCCGGCCCCUUCCUACAGUCCUGCUCCCCCGUACGGCGGCUCGUACCCGCCUUCGCCUGUGUACGGGCCGUACGGUGGCGUUCAGCCGCCACCGCCUGCUGCUUACGGGUCGUACGGCAGCCCUCCUUCGCCAGUGUACGGCGGUUACAGCUCAAGUCCGUCCCCCUCCGCAGCUUAUGGGUCCACCGAUACGAACCGUCCGCCUCGGCCGCCACGCAAGCUCCAUUCCCGGCCGCGCCCCGUGCCGCAGUGAGGGGCUAGGGGCGUGCUCCCGAACAUGCAUUUGAAUGAAUUGCAUGGUACCACGCAGCAGGUGCAGGCAAAUACAAUACGGUAUUCGUACAUAUAGAGGAAUGCCGCACAAAAGCGCAUUCGCAUGUUGGUGUGUGCGUGAGGUUGAGCAGUUUCGAGCAGGGCUUUCCUGUACAUACUUCAUCUGUACAUACUUCAUCUGUCUUCAUCGGUGCGGAACUGCAUUGAGCAGGCCAGUAGCGGGAGCUAAUCAGGGAUCCGCGGGUCGCCUCCGCCUCGAAGCAUCUUAUUUAUCACCGUAUUGAAUGUAAGCAUGGUGUGGGCCUGAGUAACAGCUCUAUGUCCAGAGCAGUCCAGAACCGUGUGCAUGUCUCUGGGUGUCCAAUCCCAGCAGCGCCGGCCUGUAGCCUUUGCCCGGUAGUCGUGUUUAUAUGUGGGUGUUCCUAUGGUGGUACGGGGGGGUUGGCUGCACACAGGAUCAGUACAUUCACGGACACACGCAUGGACACGCAUGACGUACAACGCAUGGUGUGGAGCGGGGGACGGAGGUUCGCUGCGAACGUUAUGAGCUGUAUGGGGCGGAUGCAAUGACAUACUGUAGUGGGUGGCGCAGCGGACCACGCAACAAACAUUUGCAGGAUGGCACAUGAGCAUGGCAUCUCCACCUGACGAGGUUGCCGCACGGGGUUGCCGGUCAAGGGAGCUGCACCGGGUUGUGGUGUUGGCAUGCAACUCGGGCGUCAGGUGCCACGGGCUGUAACACGUAUUUCGGUAUUUGUGACAAGACACCAACCAUGGUGCUUACCCGUGUCCCCCGAGCCUGAACGCCACCAAUCAGUCACUGGGAGCCCCAGAUUGGCAGGCCUGCAAGGCAAUUGCGGUAGUUGAUGUCAGGCGGCGCCGCUCCCCCAAGGCUGGUUUCGCUUCCCCCUUCGGCCCCAACCCAAUGUCCACUUCCGUAGGCCCAGGGACAUGUCAUCCUGGAAAAUUGGAAACGCGUUGACUUACACUCGGCUGGGUUCUUCUUCUCGAGGGGGUAUCGCGGAGAUAUCCGAUGAAUGAUAGCUAGGGAGCUCUCCAGUGUCGAGUGACCAGACACACCCCUUCGCAUUGUACACGUAACCAGCAGGUGAAUCCACGAGCGUGCAGAGCAGCGUAUGUGCAGGUCCUGAUAGUGCAUCGCCAACAACAGUGCUCCCCAGUGUACCGGUAGGAACGCCACCGGGACCAGGGCAUGCCGGGACUACCGGGCCGGCCAUCAUUGCCACGACAGCCAUCUGCAGUAGGUGUGGCUCAGUCAAUGUUAUUGAUACACAUGUAACACAAGUAUCUUACUAAGCUAUAUUAUAACUGCAUUAUAAAUCGAACGAACGCGUAAGAACUUCCGAUUCCGCCACCCACGACGACCUCGUUCACAGUCACUUCACAUUCUGCGUCCUUACGCUUCCCAAGACUCGUCACUAAAACCAACAUCCAGCUGCAAAUCACAGCGCACUGCACGAGUCGGUCGUCGACUCACUUGGCCGCGAUGGCGUCGGUCGCGCACUCGCACUCCCUGUCCACACCCGCUGUCACCCCUAAACGCUGCUGCCUUAGCGCUCUGACCUCGCCGCUAGCUCGAUGCAUCGGGCCGCUGGGCCACGCAGCGGCUUCUCGGGCAGCGCCGACGUCCCACGCCUCAGCAAGCUCUGGUCCCGCGCUCUCAGUGCACGCCUCCGUUUUAACGCCCCAGCCCGCAGCUCUGGUAACACCGCGUCCCCAGUCGCCAGCAGUCCCUGCGCCUCUCGCACCGACUCUCAGGUCACUGCUGCUCUCCGCAGCCUCCAGCUUGCCGUGCACGCUGCUGGCAGCAGCUGCCUGCUCCGCUGCGGAGCGCUCGGCCUCCGCCGCCGCCACCGCCGCAGCACCAGCAUCAGCAUCAGUGGCAGCAGCACUGACGUUUGAGCCUCGGGCACCGGAAGCGGGCGUGCUGGCAGCCCAGGUGCUGGUGCUGCUGCUGACGGCGGGCGCUGGCGCGUACUGGUGGUACGUGGUGGUGCCGACGGAGCGCGCGGCGGUGGGGCGUAGCAAGCGGCUGGGCGCCCUCAACAACUACCUCGGAGAGCUGGAGGCGCCGCAGGCGACACAGGAGCGCAAGUGGGUAUGCUAUGGUGAAAAUGUGGGCUAAGGAGCUAGGGAUGGAGGGACGGUAGGAGUGAGACUGGACGGCGGUCGUGGUGGGGGGCGCGGGUGCAGGUUCGGCUAACAUAGUGGCAACGAGACAGCGUGGGCGGACCCGGCUGUGCUUCCGGCAUGCUCUUGCCUCAGCCUCCCAUGCACGUUAUCCUUUGCCGCCCAGACUGGAGCGCUGGUUCUACACCGACUGGCUGCAGCAACGCGAGAAGCGCCGCCAACGGCUGGGCAAGCCUGCGGCGUCAGCCGCCGCUGCCGGCUCUGCGGCAUCUCCCGCCGCUGCCUCUCCCACGGCAACCCCUGCCGAUGCCUCCGAUGGCGGGGCCCCGAGCCCAGAGGACCCGUACACUGGCGAGCACGUGCCGUACAGCGAUGACCUGCUGCGACCCACUGUGGAGACGCCCACGCCGCGCUUCUUGUCCCUGGACAACCCGUUGGUCGCCACGGCGGCGCUGCUGACGCUGGUGGGCGUCGUGUCCACGCUUUUGCAUGGGUAAUGGGUGUGAUGAAGUGGCCUAGGGUCGUCAGCGCCCCAAGGGAUACAUUGCGGCUUUUCGUGUCCACUGGGUAGGUUGGGUAGAUAAUCAUGCGAACAGUGUGUAUCAAAGAUAGAAGUGCCGAGUACCCCUGCACCUGGCUUUCGUUCUCUUUGUACGUCAGGACGAUGAGAAAUGCUUGCUAAUACGACGUAUCAGUGGUGGGGGCUCAGCCUGCUGUGUUGAUGCUGUGUUGAGAGUGGGCAGUGGAGGCGUGCAGGGAGCGGCUGCGUAGAUUAACACAGGUGUCCUUGCUAGGACUGUGGGCUACGAGGAUGGGGGUUGUCUCGCUUGGAGCGCAAGUGGCGUGAGCAAGGCUGCAAGGGCUGUGCAGUGUGCAGUGCCUGGCAGUGUUUGUGAAGGCGUUGCGGCGUCGGCACGUGCACACCUGAUAUGAAGGCUACUACCACAUGGGAAAUGCAAGCCACCUAUGUGAUGCACGUUUGUGAUGCUACCGUUGCUAUUGUAUAGGAGUAGGACUGGCACGACGAGAGGAUAGUAACGAACGGGGCAAGGCAACGGGGAGCAUGUCAUUGGAGUAUGGAAAGUAGCGACACUCAGCGACUGGACUUGCCGGCUAGCGGGCACUGGCGCUGAGCAGCAGGAGACACAUGGCAAUCGCUUGCAGAGCUACACAGGCAUGAACUGCAAGGUCACUAGAUGAGGCAGGCUUUGGCGGCCCGGGUGUAUCACGCCCGGGACAGAGGAAUACCCACAGCUGCAACACUAUUGUAACUCAAUAUCGAGCACCGACGAUGCACCGUGGUUGCUGCCCGCACACCCACAUUAAGCCCACGCAACCCCGUGGCCCACCGCAGCACCACCGAACGCUCGACGUUGCACGCAAAUGGCGGGCUCUCCCCGUCGGCUACCACUCUUGGGCUGCUGCAGGGAAUUCCAGUAUUUUACUUACCUGCUGGUCAACGGUCCGGCUGGGUGUGCGAUGGGACAGUUGUAAGGCAGGUUGGUGAAGUCCCGUAGGGUGCCGCUGGAUGUGCGAUGGGACAGUGGUAAGGCAGGUUGGUGAAGUCCCGUAGGGUGCAGCUGAUUCCCAGAACCCAACAGAUGGCACACAAUUGGCAACGGCAGGGCAUGAGUGCGCGGCUGGUCGAACGCCGGGGUGAUUGUACCGACGAGUUGCUGGCUGGCUGGAAGGGUGCUGAAGCGCAUUCCGGUCCAGCUCGGUAGCGUUCCCAUGUUCCGAAUCCUUGCCGCCCUCGCACACCCUAAAGCAUCCCCUAGUCCUUGGCCACCACGAAGCGGCUGACUGGCUGAUUCUCAGAUACCCAUCCCACCUUCAAAGCGAAACCCACAGGCACAGGUACAACUCAUGUCGCGUUGACUUACACUCGGUUGGGUUUUUCUUCUCGGGGGUGAGAUAUCUGAUGAAUGAUAGCAUCCGAUCUCUCCAGUGUCAAGUAACCAUGCCUAACCCUGAUGCCUAGGGUAUUGUACACGGUGCCGCCACGUAACCAGCAGGUACGGGCUAAUUAUUGUGAAGUCACGCGCGUUUGGGGGAAACCAAUAGCAGCGUAUAUACAAACGCAAAACCGCAUAACCUCAGAACACCAGCAAAACUGAGACCCAAAAGUCUCAAAGAAUGUCCUUGCGUCAUGCGAUCACGCUUGGCUUAGCCACACACCAACAACACACACACACACACUCUCAUUGCACUCGCUCAAACACCAACAAACAUCACACACGGCUCAGAUCGACGAGCGCCUCCAUUUACACGGAGCGCUUGUUGGCGGGCUGGAAGUCGCGGGCAGUCUUGGGGCGCUGGACCAGGAAGCCCAUGAUCUGCACCUGCUUCUGGUUGUCGAAGGCCACCAGGCGCACGUAGGCAUCGGGGAAGGCCUUGGUGCAGGCGACGAUCUCGCGCAGCACCUGCAUGGGGUCGCGGCAGCCGAACAUGGGCAGCUUCCACAUGGUCCAGUAGCGGUUGUCGUAGUACAGCUGCGGGCGCACGGGAAAUGGGAGGGAGAAGAGGUUCAGUCACCAGCGCACAGAACCACCAAAGAUGGAAUUGGGCCCCUUGCUUUUCCGUGCUGAAGCACGAGCAGGGGUAUGCGUCAGUUCCCCGCGGUGAGAUAGGCGCUGUCCCGGUGCCAAGCUAACCCAGUGCCACAGUGGACCCGUCUGGCUCUCGCUCCGACUUACGCAAGACACGCUGCCGAAGCGGAUGGCCGACUCGUUGGACACGUAGGCCUUGUCGGCCUCAGCGAACUCCAGGCAGGGGAUCCAGCCUGCAAGCGACAGCACGAAGGGGGUAAGAUAAGUGGCCGACGCAAGCAGUCCAGGGCUAUCCCAGAUAAGGGCGGAUGACAGGCAAACUAUACAGCAGACAACGAACAAGCUAAUCUCAAGCUUCGAGCGAUCGUAAUGUCGCAGUCUGCAGCUACGCCCUAGAUCGUAUUAACUAGCUCUCAAACACAGCCCAGCUACAUAUGCCCACGGCACCAAGCCGUGCUCACCGUUGGCGACGAUGUAGUCGACCUGGGCGGCGAUCUGCUCGUCGGUCAGAGGAGGCAGGUAGGAGAAGGUCUCGAACAUCCUGCGAUCACGCGAUUGACCAGUACUCGUUAGAAGUGGCAGAGCACGUGCGAUGUGAGGCAGCAGGCUGGGCCCCAAGCAAUUGCGUCGCGACUUGCAGAAUCCCUAUCCUUCGGGCUGCGCUUGCUCGUCGACUCACUUGUUGUUGACCGGGGUCCAGACCAUCAUCUGGUUGGCCUGAGCCGGGGCAGCCACGGGGGCAGCCUUGACGGCGGGCUUCAGCGCGGCCAUGGGGCGCACGCUGGAGCGGGCCGGGCGAGCCACGGCCGCGGAGACGGAGGACUUGGCAAUGACGGCGGCCAUUUUAGAUGUUUGAGAAAGUGGUCGAAUGAACGAGUAAGUUCUUGGGACAAAGACUCGGAGGUGGCCGGUCGCCGUUUUCAAUCCCCGCUCGCCGAUGACCCGUACGGCAGGCUUAUCCGACUCGUCGGCUUUCACGACCGCCCGAGCCUGCGCGCUUCAUCCGCUUCCGGAUAGCUUGCUACGAUAAUGCAUUAUUCAAUUUUACGACGCAAUGUCAUGAGCAGCGCCGGGCGGGCUUAUUUACAUGCGUCGCCUCGCUCGCCGUUGACUUGAUACUUUGGAAAUUCGGGCUCGAUUCGUUGCUACAGCCUGCCUUUUGCACACAAUGUGAACGUCGAUUCUACAUUUGUAUGUGACUGAACUUCGCGGCCCCUACUGAACGUUUCGUGCAAGCGACAUGUCGACUCACAACUUGGAGGAACGCGCGAGGGGUCCCCACACGCACUUUCAGCCUGCUUUGGCGAAAUGGACAUGAUAGGUAUAGCCAGGAUAUGGGUCUGCUAGCUCGCCUGGUGUUUUGACCGUCGAUCGGUUUCGCGUUGGGCCUUGCGGCUGCUCGCUCGCCGCGGAUGCUUCCGCACACUGCGCGGCACGUGUUAGUCUGUGCACGACGACGGUUUGUUUGUAUUGCGCCGCCAACGUUCAACGGUGGUGGUAGGUUCGAAUGUCAGAAUGUCGGGCACGGGGACCUUGGGCGCAUUGCCUACAAGCGCGUGCCUGUGUUUUUGGGGGGCAGAGAAGUGAGCCUGCCUAUUGGGUCACAAUAGCACAGAGGCGGGUGGCCAGCGUCGGGAACUGGUUCAGAACGGCUGCAGGGACAGCACCGUGCGUGCGUGUGUGUGUGGGGGGAGCCUUCAAAGUUGACGAGCUUCGCAGCGCUGGGAUGGACUGGCAUUGCGUGCUUGAGUUUGCGUCCCGUGAGAACCCUGCAGUUUAUGGCGGAGACAGGGAAGAGGGAAUGGGAUCGCGCCGGUGCAGGGAAAGGGCACGAAUCUGAGGUUACGGUAUCUGGGGGGAGGUGCCCAUGUGGGAGGGGAAGCCUAACUGCCUGUCUGGGUGCAGACCAGGAAUGGCAACACGUGAACGGUUAGUAGAGAGCUGUGUGCUGUUGGGCGCUCUCGGCAAGGGGCGUGGGAGGGGGCUGGGUUGGUGGGCGGCUGUCCGCACAGUGCCUAGCAGUGCGCACUCAGGCCCUUCGCAGACCGAAGAGGGCGCCAGGGCCUAUGCGCGCGUGGCUUGGCGUGAGGUUCUUGCUGUUGGCGUCAGGCGCCGCAAAAGGCCGGGUGGCUCUGCAGUGUCCUGCUCGCUUGGCGUGCGGCAAAGUGGUUCAGUCAGCGAGCGCAGUGUAUGCGUGUGUGCGUGUAUGCGUGUGCGUGCGUGUGUGUGUGUGUGUGUGUGUGUGUGUGUGUGUGUGUGUGGUUGCUGCGGAGAGGGCACGCAGCGACACGAGAUUGCCAUGCAGUGGUGCAAGCUGCUGGGGUCGGGUAAACGGGGUGGGAAAGUUGGUGAUGGUGGAAUGUUCUUGUGGCACGAACUGGCCUUGUGCGUAUUCGUUCGCCCCGUUCACUCUGGUCCACCAAUCCCACAGUCACUGCACUUAAAUGCCUAAAAGCCCCUGCUACGGUGCGGACAGGGUAAGGCCACGGCAGGUCUAAGUCCAUAUGCGCCCGUAGAGGUUCGAGUGCGUUAACCGGUCGCAAGGUGUUCACAACAUGUUGAUGUGUUGACAACAUGGCUGUGGUCAAGACGUGCCCUGCGAACUUCCCGUGUUUACAUGUUAAUAGAGCUCGCUGACAGCAGUCAUUUGACACCAUUAUGGAAGAAAACAGAGGGGAUUUAGGGGGUGUACGGCACGGUAUGGCACGGUCGGUCGUCGGUCCGGGGGGUCGGGGGGUUCUGCAGGGUGGGGCCUGGAACUAUUGUUCGUACACCCCCGCCUGGCUCCCCUGCUCCCCCUGACUAACCCCUGACCUCUGGCUUUCUUCGCUUUCCUUUCAGUGUCACCAAUUCUCAUGAGUGGGGGCGCACCCCGAAAUAAGCGGGUACGGUGCUUCAGUUCAGUGCUUGCCACGGCCUCAAGAGCCCCAAACCACGUGCACCGAAAUUCGCUUGCACUCCAAAUGCACUGGGAAGCCAGUAGCAGCGCGCUCUCAAAUGCUGGCAUGUGUCUCUCUCUGUCCAGAGCCUGAAUGCGCCAAGUCUGCUACGGUAGGAGGGUGCAACCCGUGGCCCGCCUUGAACCGCGCUUGCACACACAGCUGGAUUGCUGCUGGCAUGACCGUGUGAAAGAGGUACAGGCAGCCGGGCAAGUCCCAGCGGGCAGGUUGGUGUAGGCUAUGCCCCAUAACAGGCCCGUGCAUGCUGCCACGGACUUCUCGCCAGGAAUGUAAGUCCCGAUGCUAGACAAUUACUCCAGCAGCUGCAUGCCGCCAUCUUCAGUACUCGGUAUCCCUUGGUGCACGCAAGUCAAGGAUCAGUCCCAGGGCUCACCCUGGAGCAAUGCAGCCUGCGUGUGCACCUGCGAUGGAGCCGCGGCCUGCGGUAUUGGCUGCCCGAUUACGAAGCUGCGGGUGGGGGCAGUUGGCACGCAUUCCGCCACAGACCCCGCGAGCCUAGCCGCACCCAAGCUCUAAGCGGCCUAGACCGUGACCAAAGGCGAAGAAGCCGCGGCCAUCCCUGCGCUCAGAUUGCAUUGGUUACAAGAGGGACCUGCUGACGCAGUUCAUGGCUUCAUGCGCUCAGAGCCCGAGCCCUGAGCGGCAGCAAAAGCAGAAGCCACGCUACGUGUGCUAGCUACGACCAAUGCCUUGUACAGCUCUCCUCGGCUGCGCUCUUCGGCUGCGCUCCUCGGCUGCGCGGGACAGGGGACUCCGUGCAACCACUAUUGCUUAUAGCCUGCACCAGUCAUUGACGAGUGUUGCGGAACUAAUGCGUACGUAGACCAGAGCGGAAGGCGGAGUGGGCUUGCAGGCGGCACGAGAGUAGGCAGUCAGUAGCGCAAGUUGCGAAUUCCCAUGUUACCUCGUAACCGACGGUAAACGCUGUGGACGGUCGCGCCCAUGGCUGGCUGACGGAAGCUGGCUGCGGUAUUGGGAUGGCUGGGCUGGAUGACGCCGGCCGGGCUGGCGUUGGGACUACCAGAAAGGAUGCGCCCGAAACCAACCUGGAGAACACCAGCGCCACCGGUGCCCAGCACGACAUGUAAGGGAGGGAGGGAGGGACAGGAGGCGUGAUGCACUGCAGCGUAGAAGCUGCAGUCAUGGGCACAGCUUGUACCAUACAGCACGGUCAUCAAGGACACAAUGCCGGAACGGCAUCAUACGAGGCGGGGUUGGGAGCUGCAGGAAGUGGGCAGCGGGGCAGAAUCAAAGGUUUGCAUCGUUUAGAACAGGUGCGGAACACGCGCCAGCGCCAGCGCGGAGGACCCCAAGUAAGGCCUUUACUCACCAAUGUACGUUUUGUACACCCAAUCUCGCCCCCUAUCGACGUUGGCACUAGGUAGCUGGCUAUCAUUCUAUGCAGAUUAAGCAAAGGGGCACCGGGAACAACUGACUCAUGUUCGUCACUGCAGGUUACUGCAAAUGCUGUCUCCACCUUUGCUGCACGGUUCCGUUUCGUCACGUUUGCUGGUGUUGCUACCCGCCGUUCUUUAGUGUGUAACUGAUCUGCGAACCGAGUCCCCUUCAGCUGAUGAACCCCGCAGCAACUUUUCCAAAAGCGCUUCAAAUACGCCCAGCCCGCCCAUGGAGAAAGAGGCCAAAAUCAACGGAGGAUCGUUACAACCAACAAAAUUGCAAAACUCCUCCGCUUUUUACGUGUUGAAAAAGACUGAUCAGCACGAAACGGGGAGCUAAGCUACCGCUUCAGCACUUGAGAGCAGUAUCUUCCAUCCACCGCCGUUCGUCAGGGGGCAAGGCUCAGAUCAACGAGCGCCUCCAUUUACACGGAGCGCUUGUUGGCGGGCUGCCAGUCGCGGGCAGACUUGGGGCGCUGGACCAGGAAGCCCAUGAUCUGCACCUGCUUCUGGUUGUCGAAGGCCACCAGGCGCACGUAGGCAUCGGGGAAGGCCUUGGUGCAGGCGACGAUCUCGCGCAGCACCUGCAUGGGGUCGCGGCAGCCGAACAUGGGCAGCUUCCACAUGGUCCAGUAGCGGUUGUCGUAGUACAGCUGCGGGCGCACGGGAAAUGGGAGGGAGAAGAGGUUCAGUCACCAGCGCACAGAACCACCAAAGAUGGAAUUGGGCCCCUUGCUUUUCCGUGCUGAAGCACGAGCAGGGGUAUGCGUCAGUUCCCCGCGGUGAGAUAGGCGCUGUCCCGGUGCCAAGCUAACCAGUGCCACAGUGGACCCGUGUGCCAAAAGCUAACCCAGUGCCACAGUGGACCCGUCGGGCUCUCGCCAGACUUACGCAAGACACGCUGCCGAAGCGGAUGGCCGACUCGUUGGACACGUAGGCCUUGUCCGACUCAGCGAACUCCAGGCAGGGGAUCCAGCCUGCAAGCAAGGGGAUGAAGGGUGCCGCGAAGGGUGAACGAGGGACAAAGACACGGACAGGAACCGGAUAAGGGGCGGCUUGACCAAGAACUCACGCUCCGACCGCUACUUCGGCAACCCAAAUAAGUGAUUCCACGCUAUGGCUCUGUCGCUGUCGUAUAGCCCGGCUGGUAGCAGCUGGAAAGCUCAAGUGAGGCUGGACAAGCCGCGCUGGCAUGAGUGCAAGCUGUUUGCCCAAGAAAAAGCCGCCGAAAGCCCAGGCUGACUGCAGAUUCCUGACUUGGGCACUGUUCGUUGCUGGAGUGUUGCUCGCAACCCCGCAAGCUCACCGUUGGCGACAAUGUAGUCGACCUGGGCGGCGAUCUGCUCGUCGCUCAGGGGGGGCAGGUAGGAGAAGGUCUCGAACAUCCUGCAAAUGGAAACGGCGACGCAGGGUUAGAUGCUGCUUGAGACAGCGACAGAGGAGCCAAAAGCCUUCGUCGACACAAUGCGGGCGUUGCAAGUCAAAUCUGCAAGCACGCUGCCUGAUCCGCCGGGCUUGCUCGUCGACUCACUUGUUGUUGACCGGGGUCCAGACCAUCAUCUGGUUGGCCUGAGCCGGGGCAGCCACGGGGGCGGCCUUGACGGCGGGCUUCAGCGCGGCCAUGGGGCGCACGCUGGAGCGGGCCGGGCGGGCCACGGCCGCGGAGACGGAGGACUUGGCAAUGACGGCGGCCAUUUUAAGAUGUUGAGUGACUUCUCUUGUAAAAAAGUAAAGAACAUAGGCCCCCUGGCCGGUUUAUCAGGAGGGCACCGCUCCAGGGGCUGCAUGCGAACUGCUUGCAUUGGCGCCUAGCCUUUGUGGGCCAGGGGGCUUCCGGAUAAGGGUUGCAAGUGCUCAAAUACCCCAUCAAACAUCAUCCUGGUUUGGCUGCGCUCCUUCUGGCGCGCCCGGGAAGCCGGGCUUGCACGCAGAGUGAGGAUGCGGCACGGGUGCACGCGCACGAUAGUCACUUUGCAUUCUCAGGACGUUCGCGACGCUAUUAAGGCUGGGUUUUAUCAAAACUAACGAGCUCGGCCACGCGGGCGAGUUCAAACCGUGGCGUGACACAACUAAUAUACGCCCCCGUCGCGGCGGCCCCGGCUGGCGCGCAAAGCAUGCCAAUUACCUUCAUCUGUCACGAAGUAUCAUAGGACGGCAGGCGGGGCAUCUGGGCCGCUCUCGCGGUGUUGCUAGGAAACAGACAAUGUUCCUGCCGUUUGUCCAGUUUUUCGUCGUUUCUGGCGCCGUGUCGCCUCUAAGAGGUAUGUGGAAGAGUUUUACCUGGCUCGCGUCGAAUGUAUAGACCCGUGCGCCGGCGCAUGCGGCGAUCCGGGUUGUGCCGACGGUCGCGGCUUGCUUGACGUGGGCUGCGUAGUUCACCACUCCCCUGGGGCACUGGGUUCAUCAUCAUUUGUACACACUGAGACAGUGCGGUACUACCAUCGUGCAGGGGACUCCGAAGUUCGGUCCACCAAUCCACCAAUGGCGCUAGGACGGGACUUGACGGGAUCGGCGUAGGACGGUGGAACGGGUGCGGUUUGCGUAAUGCAUCAGGGGGGGUCGUGACAGAGGCACGAGAGCUCCCGUCAUGCAGAACGCCGUGGAGAGCCGCUGAGGGGUUUGGAAAGGUGAAAGGGGGGGUCCUAACGGGUCCUAUGACUCGCGGUGGGUUUCUUGCAAUCAUGUCAGGUAAGCGUCGGACCCCUGCAUAAUGCAAAUUACUUUGCGUCUGUUAUACCUAAGGCAGCAAUGCACGGUGGCGGUGGGUGGUGAUCCCUUGGUCGUUCAGACUUCCGACUGCACCCUACAAAAGGACUGAACGCACAGGGAUUGGAUCCUAGGGGUGACCGCACAGGGACCUGGACCCCGCCUACCGGCGCGCGCUGGUGCUGCGUGAGCUGCUGGGCUACCCCGCCGACGUCCCGUGCCGAAGCGGCCCACCUGUACCCACCGCCGCCGGGGAAGUGACAUGGGUUAGCAACCCGGCCUAUCCACUUUGGGUCGGGGCAGCGGCGGGGCAGGGCGGGGCAGGGUGCCGACGUGCUGUGACCUGCGGGACGGCGUGUCACAAAGCGUGUGCGAGAACGGCAAGGGAAGGGGCGAACCCAGGCGCGGCCUGGACGCGUAGACAGAACUGCAGGUGCAGGCGGGCGCUUGGCGGCACCCCAGGGGGACACACGUCAUGACGUCACGACCUGCACCCAACGCGUACGCGUCCCUCCAAUGCUAGGCCGCGCCGGCGCGAGUGUCGCCCUACUGUCACCGUGUGGGACGUGGCCGUGCAACAAUGUCUCUGCGUCUCGCCACGAGCAAGUGUUCACACAUUGCGCUUCAGUGCCUUGCCAGCCCGAGCACCCGCAGUACCCAAUGCCGCCGUGUCCCGACUCCACGAUGGGGGCCAGGACAGUCUGGCCUGACCAGGCGUGCUGCCUCUCCUACCGUAGCCUACCCCGGCGCGGCGGCCGUGCUGACCAUGGGUCCCACACUACCAACUCCAUGCCGACUCGGAUGUGAACGCUAGCUGGUGUUCGGGUGCGAAUGUGCAAUUGUGCGCAGCGCCCUGCAUCCCCCGCGGCACGGGCCCCCGUGUCAGGGCCCCGCCGCCCGGUGACGUACAGAAGGCAGGGCAGAGGUCCGGGCAUGUGGGCUUCUAGGAACUUCGAAACACCACCGCUGGUCACCUUCCUGCAGAUGCGCUGCGGCUCUGCAUCGCGAGUGUGGCGUUGCGGUGUGUCUGUGUGGUGCUAUCGCCUGGCGCCGGAGCGUGAGGAAUGCGCGUCAGCAAACUUCCAGCCAGCCAGCAACUUGUCGGUACUGUAAGAGCAUCCGUCAGCAAAAGUAACUCUGGCGUUCGACCAGCCGCGCACUCCUGCCCUGCCGUUGCAAAUUGUUUGCCAUCUGCUGGGAAUCAGCUGCAUCCUACGGGACUUCACCAACCUGCCUUAACACUGUCCCAUCGCACACCCCGACCAUGCCAUGUUGACGUUCCACCCAUGCGUUACACCGUACUUGUACAGUACGGUAUGAGGGCACGCUCUGGAUAAGCUCCUUGACCCGGCAGCCGACAAGACCAUGUGACACUUUGCAUGGACUCCACAUUUCUGCUGACGGCUUCUGCCUGUGCCACGGGAGGGGCCACAUUCGAAUGUAUUCUAGCGUCCUUUGCGCUUCAUGAUCACGCACCAUACAUGACCGUGCCGAACCGUUAUCCGCAAGCCGCCAAAAAGGAAGUCGCCUUGGGAUUAUGAAUGCGACAUUACAAGAAGGCACAGUCCGUCCAAGCAUGGGUGCCCAGCCCAGCGUGCCAGCCCAGGGAUUAUGCCUUUUCUUCUCUCAGUUUGCAUCAAGGACCCAAUCACGCUGACGCAUCCUGACGCAUUCACCGCCGGAACGCUCCCAGCAGGUUAAACGCGCGCUCCUUCUUGGAAGCGGUCUCCUGCUCCGGCUCCACCUCCUCCUCGGGCUCCUCCUGCACCUCCUCCACCGGCUGCUGCUUGCGGCCCAGCAGACCGCCGAACAACUGCUGCUUGGCGCCGUUUCCGUUUCCGUUGGUAUUUCCGUUUCCGUUUCCGUUGGCGGCCUUGGCGGGCGCGGCCUUUCCGUUACCGUUACCGUUGGCCCUGCCGUUGGAAGCGCUGCCCCUUUGACGGCGGGCUUCAGCGCGGCCAUGGGGCGCACGCUGGAGCGGGCCGGGCGGGCCACGGCCGCGGAGACGGAGGACUUGGCAAUGACGGCGGCCAUUUUAAGAUGUUGAGUGACUUCUCUUGUAAAAAAGUAAAGAACGUAGGCCCCCUGGCCGGUUUAUCAGGAGGGCACCGCUCCAGGGGCUGCAUGCGAACUGCUUGCAUUGGCGCCUAGCCUUUGUGGGCCAGGAGGCUUCCGGAUAAGGGUUGCAAGUGCUCAAAUACCCCAUUAAACAUCAUCCUGGUUUGGCUGCGCUCCUUCUGGCGCGCCCGGGAAGCCGGGCUUGCACGCAGAGCGAGGAUGCGGCACCGGUGCACACGCACGAUAGUCACUUCGCAUUCUCAGGACACCUGCGACGGGUGCGGUUUGCGUAUUGCGUCAGUGGGGGGUCGUGACAGAGGCGCGAGAGGUCCUGUCAUGGCAGAACGCCAUGGAGAGCGGCUGAGAUGGUUCAGGAAGAAGACAAGGGGUGUCAGCUUUGUACAGCUGGAAAAUGGGCUGAGCCCCAUGUAGCGCAAGGGGAUGUGACGAUGGGCACCGGCGACAUGAACAGCACCCUUGCAAGCCCAUCCAGCGGGACUGGCCACUAUGCCAACGCCGUGCCGAGGCACCGACAUGCCCUGUCCCCGCCACGCCACGCCACCUUACCCACGCCACUUCACGGUCCAUGAUAUCCCAAAUGCAUCUCACCCACAUCCCACUCAAGCACCGCAAACGGCUAGCCGGGCUCGGGCGCGGGAUCCCGGGCCGCGACACAUGUAAGGCUCGGGGACGCAUGGUUUGGCUGUUGCAAACAAUUUCGACAUUCUUGCCCCAAGACGCUUGUCGUCGACAUGUUUUGAUACAUGGAUGUAAGAUAUUUAGGGGCCGAGAGCUAUACUCGUGAACUGAAGAAAGUCAAGAUGUCCAUGGACUCACGAGGUCGCUUCUCGCUCCGGCCGAGUUUUCCCUGCCGUCUAUUUUUCUACAAUAGGUAAUUGCAAUUAAUAAUACGUGGCCCGCGUUUGUGCCAGUAUGGUACUUUUUGUCGACACAGGCACACACGCACGCACGGACAGGGGCAAUCCUGGGGGGCUUCGCCCCCCCUGGAUCGCUUCGCUCAGGGGGCUCAGCCCAAAAAGGCAGUCCUAUGAGCAGCGGUGGGUUGUCUCUGCCUGCAAUCGUGUCCGUCUCGCGUCGGACCCCUGCAUAAUGAAAGUACUCUGCGCCUGUUAUACCUGGGGCAUUCAUGUGCGGUGGCAGUGGGUGGUGAAAGGUGAGGCUGGAGCUAGCGCUGCUUUGCCCCUUGGUGAUCCCUUUGUGGUGUGAACUUCCAACUGCACCAAACCAAAGGACUGAACGCACAGGAAUCGGAUCCUAGGCGUGACCAAAGUGGAGAGGGCGGGUUGCUAACGCAUGCCACUCCCCCGGCAGCGGUGGUUACAGGUGGGCCGCUUCGGCACGGGUCGGCACGGGUCAGGGCACGAGCAAUUGUUCACACAUUGCGCUUCAGUGCCUUGCCAGCCCGAGCACCCGCAGUACCCAAUGCCGCCGUGUCCCGACUCCGCGAUGGGGGCCAGGACAGUCUGGCUUGACCAGGCGUGCUGCCUCUCCUACCGUAGCCUACCCCGGCGCGGCGGCCGUGCUGACGACCACAACUGCCCUGACCAUGGUCCCACACUUCCACUCCAUGCCGACUCUGACGUGGACGCUGGUGUUCGGGUGCGAAUGUGCAAUUGUGCGCAGCGCCCUGCAUCCCCCGCGGCACGUACGGACCCCCGUGUCAGGGCGCCGCCGCCCGGUGACGUACAGAAGCCAGGGCAGAGGUUCCGGGCUGCCGGGCCCGGACCAGGCUUGCGGGCGGUCAGAACCUUCAGAGCACCACGUGUAUGCCAAAUGCCUGCACAUUGCGCGUAAUUGCCCGUCAAGUGUUUUGCUACCUGCCUGCCUCUUGCUUUGCCUGGGUCCACCCACCCCGCAUAGCACGCAUGACCCAUGCCGCAUGCAGUACGACCGGGAUGAGCCAUGCAGCCACUGCGCUGUCUCUAUCUGUCCGGCCGCCCGGCGCGCGGAGUUGUCUGCCUUUCUUUUUGGCGUAGUGUUUACAUCAGCUUCCCCUACGCCGCCUUAGGUCACCUCGUGCAACUCGGCCCGCCUUGCAGCCAGCAGCCGCGCUCCCGCGCGCUCCGAGCUGCAUUUGUCUACUGCCACUGUUGCCUCCCCGCUUCCUGCCGCUGUUGGUUCCGCCCUCUCUUCCUCACUCCGUUCCUUCCACACAUAUGCUGCUGGGCGCCAGUGGCGCUGGUGUCUCCCGGUUGGUUUCGGACAGCUCGUAUUCUGGCGUCUCCGGCGCCUUCAUUCGCGGCCGCUCCUGAUCCAGGCUCGCCAUGCCAUGCGUUACACCGUACUGUAUGCCUGUGAGUGCUCGCCCUCGUAUCACGGAAUGCUCUCUUGGGAUGCGCUCUCCCUUCUUUGUGUGUCCGUCCAUGCAGCCAGUAAAAUCAUUGGGCUCAGGGCUGGGCCAAAGCAGUACAGUUGCGCCAGCCCCGCCACUCGCCAUCAGAGUCUCUGUUUCUUCCUGAUGCGCCCAUGCUCAAUUGCUCAUAUGCUGCCGGGUUGGCAACUGUGCACGAAGUACGCAAGCUUUGUACAGGGCUCCCUCCGUUCCUAACGAGCGUCAUGAGAACUGGCCUGCAUCCAUACCUCCAUGAUAUUUAUCCCAGUUGGCUCCUGUAAACUCACUCGUGGCCGCAUUCAAAAUGCGCAGAUCCCAACUAUCAAACACCAAGGAACCCCUCUACCUAAAGGCGUGCGCCACAAUCCGCCGGGAACCUCGUGCCACUCUUUUAUAUGCGUCCCCACUCCCUCUGUCUGUGCCUUGUGAACCUGCCCAGUUCAAUUGCCGCACUUGGCAUGCCGCAGUCCUCAUUGUGUACUGUGCCCUUGAAACUUCGCCGCUGCUUGACAGGCGCGCGGCAUUCGCUUUGCCCUGGCCCGUACCACACUCUGCCGUACCUAGUCGGCCGCAGUCGGCGGGAUCUGCGCAUAGAUGGCGUAUCUAUCCGAUCGCAAUGGAGCUCUUCAUGUUGCACAACGUUAUCUUCACAAUUGCGCAAGGCUUACGGACAAGGUCCCCCUUAUGCCUCAUCAGCAGCAUGCGCCAGCACGCCUGGUGCCAUACCCAUCCAUCAGGCUACAGCGCCAAAGAAAUACCACGCAAGUGUGAAACCAACAAACACUUUUGACUUGCUUCAUAAACAAAGCUCAAUGCUUGCCGCAGCGGCGGCGUGAUCCCCACAGGUCAACCCAGCGCUCCAUCCUGCGACCGCCUACUCAUGUGCCUACUUCCAGCCCCCUCCGGAACUUACGGGCACCUCACGGGCACCUAGACGUCAGCCAACCCGCCUGCUUUGAAAGCUGUAGCCUGAAACAACCACAUUGUAGCAUUCUCAUAGGAAGCUUGAGGGGCUGGCGCUACAGUAUGAGGGCGCCGCACGCUCUGGAUAAGCUUCCGUGACCCGUCAGUCGACAUUACCAUGCGACACUUUGCAUGGACUAAAUAUUUCUGCUGACGGCUUCUGCUGCACACUCAAAAUGUAUUCUGACGUCAUAUGCGCAUCAUGAUCACGCACCACACACGACCGUGCCGCACCGUUAUUCGCAAAGCCGCGAAAAAAGAAGUCGCUUUUGGAGUUAUGCUUUUUCUUCUCUCAGUUUGCAUUGAGGUCCGAUCGCGCUGAUGCAUUUACCGCCGAAAGACUCCCAGCAGGUUAAACGCGCGCUCCUUCUUGGAAGCGGUCUCCUGCUCCGGCUCCACCUCCUCCUCGGGCUCCUCCUGCACCUCCUCCACCGGCUGCUGCUUGCGGCCCAGCAGACCGCCGAACAACUGCUGCUUGGCACCGUUUCCGUUUCCGUUGGUGUUUCCAUUACCGCUUCCGUUUCCGUUGGCAGCCUUGGCGGGCGCGGCCUUUCCGUUACCGUUGCCGUUGGCCCUGCCGUUGGAGCCGCCGCCAGAGGCUGGCUUCUUCACCCCGAGGAUGUUGGGCACCUGCAGGGCAGGCCGCACAGAUGGUGCGGGGCAGAGAGGCACAGCGGCGGCACCGUGUGAGUUGGCUGCUUGAGGGGCUGAUAUGGAUACUGCUGUAUGACCGGCCCCUGAGCGACCCCCGCUGCCGCGAGCACGACCUUUGGCACUCAUAUGAUUCUAUCGACCUAACGCGGCGACGCCCACCGGUUGCAUCGCUCGAGGACACCGUCGCGACUGGCUAGCGGGCUAGCUGGCACUGGCUGAAUCGCUGGCUGCUGAAUCGCUGGCUGAUUGGCGCACGCACACACACACACACACACACACACACACACACACACACACACACACACACACACACACACACAGAGAGAGACACACACAUAGACAGACACACACACAGACACACACUGACACACACUGACACACACUGACACGCACGCACACACACACGCACACACACACACACACUCAUGCUCAAGCUGGGCACGAGCUCUGCAACGCACUUCGCUGCGCCGGCGCCUGCUCCGCCCUCUCGCCCGAGCACGCGCCCACACCAGCCACUCCACCCGCCGCCGCCACGACCACCCGCCCGCCGCCGCCCAGCGCCCGCCUGCUCCCUGUCCUCUACGCCGGCAGCAGUGAGCGCGGCACGCUCACCUUGACCUUUGCCUCGACCCGAGCGGCAGCCGCCGCCGCAGCUGCGGCCGCGCCAGCGGCGGCCAUGGGCCCGGUAGGCUUCACCGGCGUGGUUGGCUUGGCACCCUUGCCGCCGCGGGCGUUGUUGAUCGCCGAGCCGACCUGCAUUGCGGAUGGGGCCGCACCGUAUGGAUCCUGGAAAGUUGGGGGGCGUGGCAUAAGGUCAGGGUGUCGGGGUGCUUCAGGCCCACGGCCGCGUGUGCGUGUCACCGUCGGUGAGCGGUGGCAGGCCACAAGACCCGAGCGCCUUCGGCAGCCCCUGAGAGCUGCCCUGCCUCCCUCCCCGAGCGACCUCGAGCGCAUCGUGCGCCCCCUGUCCAAAUGCCCCUGCUCGACCUUGAACCCGGCUUGCCAACCCCGUCAACCACGCCACAACCCCUUUACCGGACCCUGCCCCCUCCCCCUUCCUCAUCUUCCUACACCUCCCCUCCUUCCUCCCCUUCCCCUCCUUCCCCUCCCUCCCCUGCCCAUCAGGCCAUCGCUCACCGACUCCGACAUGGCCUCCCGCCGCUCCACCAGGCGCGCCUUGAGCUCGUUCUGGCGCUCCUGCCACCAGGCAAUGGUCUGGCUGCCCUCGCGGGGCGCCACCGGCGCCGGCUCCUGCAGGCCCAACUCCUGUGGGGGGCAGGGAAGCAAGGGGGGGUGGGGCAGGGGCAACACCGUGUGGAACGGAAACACCCGGACAUGGGUAGCUGUGAGAGGAGAGGACGUAUCCCUUGCACCUGUGCGGUGCACGUAACACCACGUGGUCCCUCCCACCCCUGCUUCACAGUCUCCGUAGCGCUGCCACGCUCCCGCACCACUGGCCCCCACCGGUAUGUGUGUGUAUGUGUGUGUAUGAACACCGCCCCGCUCUCCUAGCCCGGUCCCUUCACGCGCCCGCUGUGCCUCCGCCUGCCCCGCGACCAAUCCGAGACCUAGUCGUCGUGCUGGCGUAAAAGGACGCCCCCUACGCCGGCCCCUUUUCCCUGAUAUCACACAGGUGCGCUAACACAUCCCUCUCCCUCACUCCCUCUCCCUCACGCUCCCCGGCGCUCACCUCCAUCAGCUGCGCCUCCGUGAGUGCGCCCUGGUUCACCUUGAGGAUGGCCUCCUCCUGCGAACAGGCGGCAGGCGGCAGGGGCAGCAGCAACAGCCAGCGAUGAGGGAACCCCAGGACCAGAUUGAUUCUCCUUACUCGUCAAACAAGCUCUCUCUCACCCGUGCCCCUCCCACCACCGCCCCUCCAACUACGGCCCCUCCCACCACCGCUUCUACCACCACCGCCCCUCCCACCGCCGCCCCCUCCCACCGCCGCCCCUUCCCCUCCACCCCGGCACCCAGCUCUCACCAUUGACGCCAGGCCCGCGUCCUUGGCCGCCUGGCCCAGGCUCUUGCCUGCCGCCGUGAGCGCCGUGCUGGUGGCGGCGGCGGCGGUGGACACGGUGGCCUCGAAGCUGCCGCUGAGGCUGUGCUGCAGGCUGGCGGUGCGGCCGGGGGCCGACGUCAGCCAGGGGUGGGCCAGCACCGCGGCGGCGGAGGGACUGCGGGGAAAGGGCGCGGUGGGGGUUAGUGGGAGGGCUUACGAAGGAGUCAAGGGGCGCGGGUGGCAUCGGGAGCACGCAAGGCCGUGCUGAGGUUCCAAGUCACAUACCGUACCAUUGAGGCAGCCCUGUAUGCCUUGGCCUCCAUCCUGCCCUGGGUUCACCCUGCUGUAAUGGAGUGCCCUCCAUGAGCGCCCUCCCUGUCCGCCUCCCCUCCUCCUCCCCCCUCUCCUCCCCCCUCUCCUACGACUUCGCUUCUUAAUUAAUCAUGAAUGUAACCCCCCUCUCCUCCCCCCUCUCCUCCUUCUUCACCUCCUCCUCCACCUCCUCCGCCCCACUCCUCCCCCUCCCCCCUCCCCCCUCCCCCCUCCCCCCUCCCCCUCCCCCUCCUCCUCCCCCUCCUCCUCACCGGUCCGUGGGCUUGUACGCCAGCAGGCGCAUCAGCAGGUCCCAGCCCGCGCCGCCGUCCGCGUCCAGCGCCUCAAAGCCCGCCUCCAGCGACUCGGCCAGCGCCCCCUUGGCGGAGGGCAGCUUGGCCUCCUCCUCGCGACGCCAGGCCGGCAGGUCCCACUUGAGCUCCUGGGGGUUGGCGGGAGAGGCGGGUGGGUGCGGCGGUGGGCGAUGAGGGGAGGGGGAGGGGGAGGGCGCCAGGCGGGAGUUCCCGUGUGCUGGGGAGGGCUGCUUUUUCCCACCCUGCGUUCAUGUGCCGGUGCGCGGAUUCCACACGCACGCUCUUCCGCUGCACCGUCGCCCCCAUCCCAGGCCCCGACCCCAUGUAUCCCCUCUAUCACGCCUCAGACACCCGUUGCACCACCACCAACACCACCUCCCCGCCGGCCCGCUCCCAUCCCCUCCAUCUCCCCCUACGCCCACUGCUCCAACCUCCCACCCACCACACACACUUAUACACACACACACACACACACACACACACGCCCACGCCCACCGCACCUGCAGCCGCUUGUUGAAUGCGAUGAGUGCGUUGUCGUUGCGCAGGUGGCCGAACACCAUCUGCAGCAGCGUGAUGCCGCAGCUGUACAUGUCGAAGCGGUCCGGCUUCUCCAUGGUCCACAGGAUGGGGCUCAGGAAGGCAGCCACGGGCUUGGGCGGCGGCUUGGGAGUCUGCGAGAGGUGAGGCGCGUGAGAGGGAGGGAGGAGGGAGGGAGGGGGCGUGACGGAGGCGUGAGUAGGCGCGGGGGAGGGAGGCGUGAAGAACCAGUGCGAGGAGGAGGGAUGGGCAGGUGUGGGUACUGCCGCUAUCACACUCUCCCACGACGACGCCGCGCACCUGCGUGCUCAUGAUGUACUGCUGCGGCGGCGCGUACCGCGGGUCCAGCAGGUACUCGUUGGGCACGUAGUUGAUGCCGAUGCGCAGGUCGGCGGCGGCGCCCAGGUCAAUCAGCUUGAUCUUCUUGUCGCGCUCGCUCACAAUGCAGUUGGCGGGCUUGAUGUCGCGGUGCACGAUGCCUGUGCGGCGUGUGUGUUUGUGCGUGCGUGUUAAAUGCGUGCAUGUUUCCUUCAACCCUGCACGCCCCCAACCACCUUCAUCCCCUAUGACUUGGGCUUCGGAAUGAAGUGCUGCCCUCCUCCAUCUCCACCUCCGGUCCACACCCCCUUCCACCCUCCCCUCCCUCAGCACCUCAAAUUUGUAAUUUAACCACUCCGUUCCCAUCCCCAACGGCUACAAACCCCCCUUCCCCUCCGCACCCCACCUCCCCCCAGCCCGGCACUCACCCACGGAGUGGCACGCGGCCACCGCCUGCACCAGCUGCCUGAAGGCCUCCUUGAUGGUCACCAGCUCGCGCACGGGGCCGCGGGGCGCGCGCAGCUCGCGGCCAAACAGCAGUGGCUCCAGGUUGUAGGGCCACUCGCGGCGCUGGGGUAGGAGGGGCGGGAGCGGAAGAGUUGGGGUGUGCGUGUGUGCAGCCGCCCAUGGCCGUGCCCAUCUCCACCUCCCCACUUCUCCAGGACAGCCCCAGUACCGUACGUCCCACUAACGUUCCCGUUCGCUCACUGUUGCUGGCCCAGCCCCCCAUUCUGCCCCAGCCCCCCAUUCUGCCCCCUCCCUUCCCUCUGCCACCUCCCCCCACCGCUCCGCUCCCCCUCCCCCCACUCACCUCCAUGAGGCUGCUGAGUGUGUUGUCGCCCUCGUACACCCACACCAGCCAGAUGCUGUUGGCGUCCAGCGGCGAGGUGGGCUGCACAGGCGCGGCUCGCUUGCCGGCGGCUGCGACAGGGAGCCGCGAGGAGGGUAGAGAGGGAGGGCGGAAGGGAGUCGGGAGAGGCGGACGGUGCGGGGAAUCAGGCCCGCGUGAGUUGCAAGGCGUGGCAGUGUUCACGGCUUCACGGCGCCCUUGCCCGCGCCGGCCUCUCGCACGCCAUGUAGCCGUGCCUCCCACCCGGUCACCCAGCCCCCAUUCCUGUCCUGUCCCGUGCCACACGUGCGCAUACGCCAUUCACUGUACAGCCCCUCAGCAGCACCGCUCACCCACCACUCCCUCAUGCAGCACCCAUGCAGCACCAGCCGCAACUCCACCUUCCACCCGCGCGCCCCUGCCCCACACCGCGCAAUUUGCGCCACGCCGUUUGCCCCACGCCAUUUGUCCAAGACUCCCACUCCCAACCACCCACGCCCGCGCCACCACCACACACGCACCGGCGGGCAGCGGCACGUUGAGCGACUCGUCAAAGGCGGUCACGAACUCCGCCACGUGGUGCCCGGCCACCCGGCUCAUGCGCUCGUUCAUCCACACCUCGGCCUCGCCAAACUCCUUGGCCUGGUGGGGGGGGGGGGUUGCGGAGGCGCGUGUGGCACAGCCGUGUCGGUGGGUGAGGUGAGGGGUUGGGCGUAGGGAAAGACCUGAGGAUGCGGGGUUGGCCGGCACGCACACAUGAUGCACUUGGCAUCGUGCGUGGGGCUGCCCGGCCGGAUGCGAGCUGCUGCUGCUGCCGCGCACCCCGCCUGCACGCCGGAGUCAUCCAGCACCACCACACAUUGCGCCUGCAGUGCCGGCCCCCCUCCUGCAUACGGCGUGCCCUCACUACACACGGGCAUCUACACCCACUGUGUGCGUCCUUGUAGUGCUGCCACACACUUCAACUGGUUUUGCCCUUUCCUGCUCAACACGCCACGCCACGCCACCAACCAUACCCGCCCUACCUUCUUGAUGAUGAUGGACGUCUUGACUCCGCCCUCCUCCUUGAGCUCCCCCUUGAACACGGUGCCGAAGCCGCCCGUGCCCAAGCGCUUGCCCAGGACAAUGUCAUUCUGUAGCAGAGGGGGUUGGGAGUGCGGCGGUUGGUUGGGACGGUAGUUGGGGCGGAAGGACGAAUGAGCAUAGGGAGCGAGGGACGGAGCGCGGGAGGCAACAGCCGGGGGAGGGAGGGAGGGAGUGCGGGAGGGGGAGAGAACGUGCGUGGGUGUUGCAUGCAAAUGGCGGGAUGCAGAUGAUGCAGGGAUUGCAGGCGAGAGCAGUGAGCAGUUUAUGCCCACGCAACAGCGCCGAUACAGGCCGACAUAGGGUGUACAUCGUUGGCAUGACUGUCCGUCUGGCGUCCUUGUAUGGGGCACGCAUGCAGUUGGGUGGCGAAUGCAGGCACGAAAGGCAGGGUGCCGAGCACGCGCAAGUCAGGCGCCUUGACGCGCAGGUCUUCCGUCGCUGAAAGACGCAUACUGCGCAUGAGAAGCUUACUUUGUCAAUGGCCUUGGUCUGCUUGCGCUUGAGGGGCGCGCGAAUGUAAUAGUCGAUGGCGCCUGGUAGCACGCCUGCACGAGAAAUGACCAACACAGAUCUCGCAAAUAGCUGCAUCAAUACGUGGUAUGUGCCAAGCAUGACAUAACAGGGCCAGGCGGCCUCGCGGCACAAAGUUUGGCGGUGACGUGUAAAUUCGGAGGUUCCAUGAGUGCAGAAAGCCCCGACAGCGCCUCGCCUUGUGCACGCGCGCACCACGCCACAAAGUGCUUAUCAAGUACGUAAUGCGCAUGCAGCGACCGAGCCCUACCCGGUGGGAGGAAGAGAUACGCAAGCACGGGGGCCAACAGCGCGACAGUCUUCUCGUCAAAGCCGGCCUCGUUGUAGAGGGACGGAUCCAGCGUACUGCACAGCGCAUCAAUGCAAAGGACGGCUUCAGUGUGGGCGUAAAUUGGCUCCAACAACCCGAACACGAUGAGCCCUCGCUGUCGAACUGCUUGUGCGCACCUGCGGUAGACGAUGUCACCGCACUUCAUGACUUGACACGGUGCUGCAAUCUGCUCCAGCGGGAGGUUUGGCACCAGGGCGCUGAGCGCAUCGAUGAACUCGGGUGUCGCUCGCGCCGGCACGCCUCGCCGCUGGCCCGGCCGCCGCUGCACAAGUAGGCAUGACCCAACAGGCUGCGAUGUCGAUGCUCCUGUAGACCGCUCAAUGCGGCAGGAAACUUGGCGCUGGGCCAGAGCCAUGUCGGUGGCUUUGCAACAAGCGCGCUAUGUGUGUCUUGGUUCGUGCUGGCUUUCUAAGGUAGCGAUGAUUUGUUUGCAGGCAAAGAUUGCGACUAAAACUACAGGACAGUCGGGGCAACAGAACGAGCCCCAAUUUGCAAUCGAUUUUGCAACGACCGGCCCGGUGCAUGGCGCGGAACCUCCCGCCUGCUCAAACGUGCAUACAAUACACGUUCUAUUCCUUACACGUCCAGCGCAAACUUUAGGAGCGAGGGCUGGAAAGAGGCCAAGACAGCUGGACACCAUCGUACAUUUUCUGCCGUUUUGGUGGGCUUGAGCACGCCAUAUCGUGCCUCCCACAGUCCCAUCCCGCCUUCACGUCGCCGUACCGCUGCUGUGCCUCCCGCACCAUCGGCACCCUACCUCUGACCGCACAGCUUCCGCUCAUGGCGCCAGUCCUGCAGCUGACAGGCCAUCUUCCCCACAAAGCCAGCCAGCCCAGGGGUGGGCGCCGCAACCGACCGCCGCACAGGGUCCCAAGCUCCUGCAGCCCAUGCCAUCCCAGCGUAUGCACAGGUGUGCAUAAAGGAAAGGUAGCGACGUAGCGUGACUAGCGUCAUGAGGAGCCCAGCCUGUGCACACCCGCCUGGUCAAAGCCAGAUGCGAGCGAGGAACACACACACACACGGCUAGUCGUCACUGACACACAGGUCCACCACCUCCACCUUCACCUUCUUCACCAGAUUUUCCUCCGCCUGUUUGCCUGUUUGCCUUUUAGUGCGUCGCCAGUUGCUCAUCUCUUGCACAGCGGAGGUCUGCUGGCUCCCCACCGCAGCGACCCCUGGACUGCCGCACCCCGGCAGCACACAUGGCCCUGUGCCCCUGUCGGCUCUGGCAUCUUGCCCGCCGCUGCCGCCGCCGCCAUGGGGUCGACGCCGAGCUCGCCGCCGAUGCAGUAGCCGCCGGCGACGGCCGUUUCACGCCCAGCCUCCUCAAGGUCGGCGCCUCCCGGCUGACCGGCAGCGGGGUGUCUCCCUCGGCUGCGCCCCGCAGCAGCGUCCUCCGGACUCCACUAGAACCGCUUCGCGUAUGGCAAGUGCAGCGCGGCAGAGGCGCGCGAAUAGACUCGGCAGCUGGGACUGGGAGAGUCGCCAGUUCAGCUCCGCGCGGGGACGCAGCCUGGCGCCGCCCAGCGACGCGCGCAGCAGCAGCCCGGCGCGCUAUCGGCCCGCCAAGAUCAGACGCGAUGAGCGGCACGGCCGAUGGCGCCGAGUUAAGCUAUCACCACGCCCAGAGUUCCGGCCAGUUGUAAUGGUUUUACGGUUUGCAGCAGAUGGUCCCACCAUAGCCCUCAGUACUCGUCACCCCAGCAUCAUGGAUGCCGAUGUCUGUCCUCAGCAUCCACCUAAGGCGAUAGUCGCGCGGAGCACGCGAUGUUGUAGUAUGUGAUCCAUUUCGGUGUAAGAAGUUUGAGUGCGAGUGAGCCAGGCUGUGUUAACGCCCGCAGUCGGCAUUGCGUUGACAGCAAGGACACGGCGUUGGCGUUGCCCCGCUCCUGCAUGACAGCACGGGUAGCAGCUGUUUCGCCAGGACCGGCGAGCUGGCCAUAGGACAAGCACAGUACCGUGCGGCGGUUCACGCGUUUGUUCCAUUACAGGUCCAGAGCCCCCUGCGCAAAGCCCAAUGGCGGCGGGCGGUGCGUGCUGGGGCGGCAAGGGAGGCGGCCGGCGCUGCACCCACACGGGCCUCGGGGCCAGCACCGACCUAAACCUCAGUUACCUCCUGCCGCUUACCCAGCCUGGAGCGCCUUUCGGCUGCUCGCCAUCAGCGGGCUUGGCCCCGGCUUCCUCAAGUGAAGCCGGCAUUAGCCAGCGAGGACGCUUUCAGUAGACGCCCUCGCACCCGCAUCACCCUCUGCACCUCCGCACAUAGACCAUUUGGGUUUGCGGCUCUGGCAACAAAUUGUGCCUCACGCACCUUACACACCAGCGGCAACACGCCCGUCACGUUGGGCAGCACGCAGCGGCACAACACCCGAUCCCCAAACAUCUCGCACAACAACUUAAACGCAGCCGCCUCACGCCAGCAAAACCUGGGUCGGCGGCCGCACCAGCCAGCAAGGCCUCGAAAUCCCUCGGGGCUCACACUCGCACGCCCCACGCCGACGCAACCGUCGCCUCAUACGGGCUGCCAUUGCAGGCGCCAAACAAGGUCCGGGGCUCGUGCCAAAUGGAACACGUAGGGUGCGUUGGUGCAACCGCAACAACCGCAACCCUCCCACUGCGCACACGUGCGAAUGCGACAGCCCGUGCAGGCCUCCGAGGCUCCGGCUAUCCCCCCCUGCAGCGCCACCCACGCCGCCCCAGCCACCACCGCGUGUUGCCGCUGUGUCCGUGCGCUUUCCUCCCAAUCGCCCGCAGUGGCAGGCUGCCCCACCGCCGCUGCUGCCGCUGCCGCCAUAGCAGCCCGCUGCUGUGGGCGACUGGCUGCCGGCAGCGACCGCGGCCGCAACAGCGGCGUGUACAGCACCAACGGCGGCAGCGCUCCGCAGCGCCCCCAGUGCACAUUUCACAGUGCACUGCUCGCUGCCGUUGCUCUCUACCGUUGCUGGUGCUGCUGGCUCCUGCCGCUGCUGGCUCCUGCUCCUGCUGCUGCGCGCUACUCCUUCAGCGCCGCCAGCACCUCCUCCGCCAGCGCCUCCACAUCCAGCGCCUUCAGCUUGGUGAAGGGGCGGGGCAUGUCCUGUGGAUGUUCGGUGUGGGUAUAUAAAGGUUAGUGCACAAGUCAAUGAGUGUGUGAGGGAGACUGUGUCUGGGUGUUUGUGCGAGUGUGCGCGUGUUUGCGAGGGCGUGGAGUGCCAAGUCGCGCACGUGGCGCACGAGUUAUGGAGCUGCAGACGCAACCACACCGUCACGUUGAACUCAUGAGCAGUCCACACAAGGCCGACCACGGAGAGGCCGUGCAUGGGGAGUUCCAGUGGUGCUACUGCCAACCACCACCUGCUACUGUUACAGCUGCCGCCGCUGCUGGUGCUGCUACUGCUGCUGCUGCUGCUGCGGCGGCUGCUACCGUACUGCUGGUGCUGCUGCUGCCGCCGCUGCCGGUGCACACGCAAGGGAACACGGUGCCCCGCGCUCCUCGCUCUUCUGCAUGGGGUUCGGUUAAGGUUGGGCUGGUAUCUACAACCCCCCUUUCCCCACACCCUCGCCCCGAUGACCCACCAGCAGUGACACGAAGGUCUUGCCGCCAGGGCCGCGGACCUCAAAGCACCCCUUGCGCGGCUUGUCCGGGUUGACGGACACCGAGGUGCCAGGGGCGCCCUCCUUGAUCAGCUUCUCCAGCUUGGUGGCCCUGUGGAGGGAGACAGAGCAUAAGACAGGACAGAGAAUACGGGGGGGACGGAGAGACAGCGGGUUGGGGCCGUGAUGCCGCCGUACACCCGCCGAGUAAGGCCGUGGC
rnacentral:lncRNA from 1 species